rnacentral:rRNA from 1 species
AGUGAACGCUGGCGGUAGGCCUAACACAUGCAAGUCGAACGGCAGCACAGUAAGAGCUUGCUCUUACGGGUGGCGAGUGGCGGACGGGUGAGGAAUACAUCGGAAUCUACUUUUUCGUGGGGGAUAACGUAGGGAAACUUACGCUAAUACCGCAUACGACCUACGGGUGAAAGCAGGGGAUCUUCGGACCUUGCGCGAUUGAAUGAUCCGAUGUCGGAUUAGCUAGUUGGCGGGGUAAAGGCCCACCAAGGCGACGAUCCGUAGCUGGUCUGAGAGGAUGAUCAGCCACACUGGAACUGAGACACGGUCCAGACUCCUACGGGAGGCAGCAGUGGGGAAUAUUGGACAAUGGGCGCAAGCCUGAUCCAGCCAUACCGCGUGGGUGAAGAAGGCCUUCGGGUUGUAAAGCCCUUUUGUUGGGAAAGAAAAGCAGCAGGUUAAUACCCCGCUGUUCUGACGGUACCCAAAGAAUAAGCACCGGCUAACCUCGUG